CUACCAUAUAUUUGUUGUAAAAUUGGACCAAAUAAUUUUUCUAAAAUACUAGGCCAUAUUUAAUGUACAAUUGUCCCAAUGGUUGGGUGUCAAAAGCUUUUAUCCACCACUCGUGAAAAAGACAAAUUAUCGUCCAUUCACUUGGAAGCGGGUCAAAUUUGAACUGCAGUUGCAUUAUAGAUUGGUCUUUAUUUUUUCCAAAAAUCAUUUAUAAAUACAAAAGUAUCUAUUUUAUCACAGAAACACCAUAAUUUUUCCAAGAUUCAACCACUAGCUAGGAACGGUCAUACCCGCUGUUUUGACCACAUUUCGAAAUAAGCAUGAAAAAUUGAAAAAUAAUUCAAAAAAUGGAAAAAAC
rnacentral:lncRNA from 1 species